CAAUAGAGUAUAUUAAAGUUGUUGCAGUUAAAAAGCUCGUAGUUGGAUUUCUGGUGGGAGCGAUCGGUCUGGCGCUUAGCGCGAGUACUUGCAUCGUCUCCGGCCAUCCUUGGGGAGAGUCUGUCUGGCAUUAGGUUGUCGGGCAGAGGAUCCUCAUCGUUUACUGUGAAAAAAUUAGAGUGUUCAAAGCAGGCUUAUGCCGUUGAAUAUAUUAGCAUGGAAUAAUAAGAUAGGACUUUGGUACUAUUUUGUUGGUUUGCGCACCAAAGUAAUGAUUAAUAGGGACAGUUGGGGGUAUUCGUAUUCCGUUGUCAGAGGUGAAAUUCUUGGAUUUACGGAAGACGAACUACUGCGAAAGCAUUUACCAAGGAUGUUUUCAUUAA
rnacentral:rRNA from 1 species